GGGCUCAUAGUAAAGUGGUAUUACGCGGCAUUCGCAUUGCCGAGGCCCGGGUUCGAUUCCCGGUGAGUCCACAA
rnacentral:tRNA from 1 species